rnacentral:rRNA from 1 species
AUUGAACGCUGGCGGCAUGCCUUACACAUGCAAGUCGAACGGUAACCGGUCUUCGGAUGCUGACGAGUGGCGAACGGGUGAGUAAUACAUCGGAACGUGCCCGAUCGUGGGGGAUAACGGAGCGAAAGCUUUGCUAAUACCGCAUACGAUCUACGGAUGAAAGCCGGGGACCGCAAGGCCUUGCGCGGACGGAGCGGCCGAUGGCAGAUUAGGUAGUUGGUGGGAUAAAAGCUUACCAAGCCGACGAUCUGUAGCUGGUCUGAGAGGACGACCAGCCACACUGGGACUGAGACACGGCCCAGACUCCUACGGGAGGCAGCAGUGGGGAAUUUUGGACAAUGGGCGAAAGCCUGAUCCAGCCAUGCCGCGUGCAGGAUGAAGGCCUUCGGGUUGUAAACUGCUUUUGUACGGAACGAAAAGACUCUUUCUAAUAAAGAGGGUCCAUGACGGUACCGUAAGAAUAAGCACCGGCUAACUACGUG